rnacentral:rRNA from 1 species
CGUGAGUGAUGAAGGCUUUCAGGUCGUAAAACUCUGUCGAGUGGGAAGAAAAAACCUGAUGCUAAUACUAUCAGGAAUUGACGGUACCACUGAAGGAAGCACCGGCUAACUCCGUGCCAGCAGCCGCGGUAAUACGGGGGGUGCAAGCGUUAUUCGGAAUUAUUGGGCGUAAAGAGCGCGUAGGCGGCUCUAUAAGUCAGAUGUGAAAGCCCGGGGCUUAACCCCGGAAGUGCACUUGAAACUAUAGGACUUGAGUAUGGGAGAGGGAAGUGGAAUUCCUGGUGUAGAGGUGAAAUUCGUAGAUAUCAGGAGGAACAUCGGUGGCGAAGGCGACUUCCUGGACCAAUACUGACGCUGAGGCGCGAAGGCGUGGGGAGCAAACAGGAUUAGAUACCCUGGUAGUCCACGCAGUAAACGUUGAACACUAGGUGUAGCGGGUAUUGACCCCUGCUGUGCCGCAGUUAACGCAUUAA